GGUUAAGCGACUAAGCGUACACGGUGGAUGCCCUGGCAGUCAGAGGCGAUGAAGGACGUGCUAAUCUGCGAAAAGCGCCGGCGAGGUGAUAUGAACCCUUGACCCGGCGAUGUCCGAAUGGGGAAACCCAGUGCAAUCCGUUGCACUAUCGUUAACUGAAUACAUAGGUUAACGAGGCGAACCGGGGGAACUGAAACAUCUAAGUACCCCGAGGAAAAGAAAUCAACCGAGAUUCCCCCAGUAGCGGCGAGCGAACGGGGAGCAGCCCGGAGUCUGAAUCAGCUUGUGUGUUAGUGGAACGGUCUGGAAAGUCCGACGGUACAGGGUGAUAGUCCCGUACACGAAAGCACACAUGCUGUGAACUCGAAGAGUAGGGCGGGACACGUGGUAUCCUGUCUGAAUAUGGGGGGACCAUCCUCCAAGGCUAAAUACUCCUGACUGACCGAUAGUGAACCAGUACCGUGAGGGAAAGGCGAAAAGAACCCCGGCGAGGGGAGUGAAAAAGAACCUGAAACCGUGUACGUACAAGCAGUGGGAGCCUCUUUAUGGGGUGACUGCGUACCUUUUGUAUAAUGGGUCAGCGACUUAUAUUCUGUAGCAAGGUUAACCGUAUAGGGGAGCCGAAGGGAAACCGAGUCUUAACUGGGCGUUAAGUUGCAGGGUAUAGACCCGAAACCCGGUGAUCUAGCCAUGGGCAGGUUGAAGGUUGGGUAACACUAACUGGAGGACCGAACCGACUAAUGUUGAAAAAUUAGCGGAUGACCUGUGGCUGGGGGUGAAAGGCCAAUCAAACCGGGAGAUAGCUGGUUCUCCCCGAAAGCUAUUUAGGUAGCGCCUCGUGAACUCAUCUUCGGGGGUAGAGCACUGUUUCGGCUAGGGGGCCAUCCCGGCUUACCAACCCGAUGCAAACUACGAAUACCGAAGAAUGUUAUCACGGGAGACACACGGCGGGUGCUAACGUCCGUCGUGAAGAGGGAAACAACCCAGACCGCCAGCUAAGGUCCCAAAGUCAUGGUUAAGUGGGAAACGAUGUGGGAAGGCACAGACAGCCAGGAUGUUGGCUUAGAAGCAGCCAUCAUUUAAAGAAAGCGUAAUAGCUCACUGGUCGAGUCGGCCUGCGCGGAAGAUGUAACGGGGCUAAACCAUGCACCGAAGCUGCGGCAGCGACGCUUAUGCGUUGUUGGGUAGGGGAGCGUUCUGUAAGCCGUUGAAGGUGUGCUGUGAGGCAUGCUGGAGGUAUCAGAAGUGCGAAUGCUGACAUAAGUAACGAUAAAGCGGGUGAAAAGCCCGCUCGCCGGAAGACCAAGGGUUCCUGUCCAACGUUAAUCGGGGCAGGGUGAGUCGACCCCUAAGGCGAGGCCGAAAGGCGUAGUCGAUGGGAAACAGGUUAAUAUUCCUGUACUUGGUGUUACUGCGAAGGGGGGACGGAGAAGGCUAUGUCAGCCGGGCGACGGUUGUCCCGGUUUAAGCAUGUAGGCGGAGGUUCCAGGUAAAUCCGGUACCUUAUUAACGCUGAGGUGUGAUGACGAGGCACUACGGUGCUGAAGUGAUAAAUGCCCUGCUUCCAGGAAAAGCCUCUAAGCAUCAGGUAACACGAAAUCGUACCCCAAACCGACACAGGUGGUCAGGUAGAGAAUACCAAGGCGCUUGAGAGAACUCGGGUGAAGGAACUAGGCAAAAUGGUGCCGUAACUUCGGGAGAAGGCACGCUGAUGUGUAGGUGAAGCCCCUGCGGGUGGAGCUGAAAUCAGUCGAAGAUACCAGCUGGCUGCAACUGUUUAUUAAAAACACAGCACUGUGCAAACACGAAAGUGGACGUAUACGGUGUGACGCCUGCCCGGUGCCGGAAGGUUAAUUGAUGGGGUUAGCGGCAACGCGAAGCUCUUGAUCGAAGCCCCGGUAAACGGCGGCCGUAACUAUAACGGUCCUAAGGUAGCGAAAUUCCUUGUCGGGUAAGUUCCGACCUGCACGAAUGGCGUAAUGAUGGCCAGGCUGUCUCCACCCGAGACUCAGUGAAAUUGAACUCGCUGUGAAGAUGCAGUGUACCCGCGGCAAGACGGAAAGACCCCGUGAACCUUUACUAUAGCUUGACACUGAACACUGGUCCUUGAUGUGUAGGAUAGGUGGGAGGCUUUGAAGCGUGGACGCCAGUCUGCGUGGAGCCGCCCUUGAAAUACCACCCUUUAAUGGCUGGUGUUCUAACGUGGACCCGUAAUCCGGGUUGCGGACAGUGUCUGGUGGGUAGUUUGACUGGGGCGGUCUCCUCCCAAAGAGUAACGGAGGAGCACGAAGGUUGGCUAAUCCUGGUCGGACAUCAGGAGGUUAGUGCAAUGGCAUAAGCCAGCUUGACUGCGAGCGUGACGGCGCGAGCAGGUGCGAAAGCAGGUCAUAGUGAUCCGGUGGUUCUGAAUGGAAGGGCCAUCGCUCAACGGAUAAAAGGUACUCCGGGGAUAACAGGCUGAUACCGCCCAAGAGUUCAUAUCGACGGCGGUGUUUGGCACCUCGAUGUCGGCUCAUCACAUCCUGGGGCUGAAGUAGGUCCCAAGGGUAUGGCUGUUCGCCAUUUAAAGUGGUACGCGAGCUGGGUUUAGAACGUCGUGAGACAGUUCGGUCCCUAUCUGCCGUGGGCGCUGGAGAAUUGAGGGGGGCUGCUCCUAGUACGAGAGGACCGGAGUGGACGCAUCACUGGUGUUCGGGUUGUCAUGCCAAUGGCACUGCCCGGUAGCUAAAUGCGGAAGAGAUAAGUGCUGAAAGCAUCUAAGCACGAAACUUGCCCCGAGAUGAGUUCUCCCUGAGACUUUAAGUCUCCUGAAGGAACGUUGAAGACGACGACGUUGAUAGGUCGGGUGUGUAAGCGCAGCGAUGCGUUGAGCUAACCGAUACUAAUGAACCGUGAGGCUUAACCUU
rnacentral:rRNA from 1 species